rnacentral:rRNA from 1 species
CAAUAGCGUAUAUUAAAGUUGUUGCGGUUAAAAAGCUCGUAGUUGGAGUUCUGCCAGGUGCCGCCUGUCCGCCCCAGUGGUGAGUACGUGGCGCGCAUUUGGCCCUUUCAAGGGGAGCGUAUCUGCACUUUAUUGUGUGGUGCGGGAUCCUUGACUUUUACUUUGAGGAAAUAGGAGUGUUCCAAGCAGGCUCUCGUCGUGCACAGCUCAGCAUGGAAUAAUAGCAUUGGACCUCGAUUCUAAGCUGUUGGUUGCCAGAAGCGAGGUAAUGAUGAAGAGGGAUAGUUGGGGGCAUUCGUAUUUAACCGUCAGAGGUGAAAUUCUUGGAUUUGUUAAAGACGGACUACUGCGAAAGCAUCUGCCAGGGAUGUUUUCAUUGA